UACGAAGGGAGCUAGCGUUGUUCGGAAUUACUGGGCGUAAAGGGCGCGUAGGCGGUUUGGCAAGUUGGAUGUGAAAGCCCUGGGCUCAACCCGGGAAUUGCAUUCAAGACUGCCUUACUUGAAUUCGGUAGAGGUUGGUGGAAUUCCCAGUGUAGAGGUGAAAUUCGUAGAUAUUGGGAAGAACACCGGUGGCGAAGGCGGCUAUCUGGACUGUGAUUGACGCUGAGGCGCGAAAGCGUGGGGAGCAAACAGG
rnacentral:rRNA from 1 species